UCUAAUAGUAUUAUUAAAUUUUUUUGGUUAUGAUUAAAUGUAAUAUAUAAAAAAAUUAGAGUUUUUAGGUGAAAUUAAUAUUUUAAAGUUUUUUAUUUUUAUUGAAGUCAAUAAAUUAAAUUUUAAACUAGGAUUAGAUACCCUAUUAUUAUUAACUUAAAUUUGUUACCUUAUUAUUGUUAGUUAAGUUCUUUAAAGUAAAAAAAUUUGGCGGUAUUUUAUACUAUUCAGAGGAACCUGUUCUUUAAUUGAUAGUCCACGAUUAGAUUUACUUAUUUUUAGGUUUACAUAUCGUUGUUUAAAAUAUGUUCAAAGAUUAUAUUUAAUAUUUAAAUUAUAAAUUAAUUCAGAUCAAGGUGUAGCUUUAUUUAAGUAGAAAUGGGUUACUUUAAUAAUAAUUAGGGAUUUUAAGUUUUAAAUUUUAAUGAAUUUGGAUUUGAUAGUAAUUUUAUAUUUAUUUAUAGAAUGAUUUAAGUUCUAAAAU
rnacentral:rRNA from 1 species